GUCAUUGUGGUGUAGUGAUUAGAGCAUUGGACUAUGGCUCUGGAGACCAGGGUUCGAAUCUCUGCAUGGCU
rnacentral:tRNA from 1 species